rnacentral:rRNA from 1 species
UACGUAGGGGCAAGCGUUGUCCGGAAUCAUUGGGCGUAAAGAGCGUGUAGGCGGCUUGACAAGUCUGCUGUGAAAACUCGAGGCUCAACCUCGAGCUGUCGGUGGAAACUGUCUGGCUAGAGUCCGGAAGAGGAGAGUGGAAUUCCUGGUGUAGCGGUGAAAUUCGUAGAUAUUCGGAGGAACACCAGCGGCGAAGGCGGCGCUCUGGGCUGGAACUGACGCUGAGGAGCGAAAGCGUGGGGAGCGAACAGG